GAGUGAAUGAUGAGCAAAUUUAUCGCCGCAUUGUGUCAACUCUGGUGUCUGUCUGUGUGGGCCACAGUGUUUGG
rnacentral:snoRNA from 1 species